GAUGAACGCUGGCGGCGUGCCUAAUACAUGCAAGUCGAACGCUGGAGAUCUAGCUUGCUAGAUCGAAGGAGUGGCGAACGGGUGAGUAAUACAUAAGCAACCUACCCACGAAGACUGGGAUAAUCUCUGGAAACGGGGACUAAUACCGGAUAGGUAAUCGGAAGGCAUCUUCUGGUUAUUAAAGGUUAAAAACACUGGUGGAUGGGCUUAUGGCGCAUUAGUUAGUUGGUGAGGUAACGGCCCACCAAGACGAUGAUGCGUAGCCGGCCUGAGAGGGUGAACGGCCACAUUGGGACUGCGACACGGCCCAGACUCCUACGGGAGGCAGCAGUAGGGAAUUUUCGGCAAUGGGGGCAACCCUGACCGAGCAACGCCGCGGGAGUGAAGACGGCCUUCGGGUUGUAAAGCUCUGUUGUAAGGGAAGAACGGUAGAUAGAGAAUAUCUAAGUGACGGUACCUUACCAGAAAGCCACGGCUAACUACGUG
rnacentral:rRNA from 1 species